GAGUUUGAUCCUGGCUCAGAUUGAACGCUGGCGGCAUGCCUUACACAUGCAAGUCGAACGGUAACAGGUCUUUCGGGAUGCUGACGAGUGGCGAACGGGUGAGUAAUACAUCGGAACGUGCCUAGUAGUGGGGGAUAACUACUCGAAAGAGUGGCUAAUACCGCAUGAGAUCUAUGGAUGAAAGCAGGGGACCUUCGGGCCUUGUGCUACUAGAGCGGCCGAUGGCAGAUUAGGUAGUUGGUGGGAUAAAAGCUUACCAAGCCUACGAUCUGUAGCUGGUCUGAGAGGACGAUCAGCCACACUGGGACUGAGACACGGCCCAGACUCCUACGGGAGGCAGCAGUGGGGAAUUUUGGACAAUGGGCGCAAGCCUGAUCCAGCAAUGCCGCGUGCAGGAUGAAGGCCUUCGGGUUGUAAACUGC
rnacentral:rRNA from 1 species